UUUAAAACAUGUUUCUCACCAGUGUGGUUAUAUAUGCCUCUAAUCCCAGUGAUUUGGGAGAGACCAAGGCAAAAGAAUGGCAACUUUGAGGCCUGACGGACUCUGUCUAAAAAUAAAAAAUGAAAAGAAACAAAGCAAAGACAUCAUCAACUGGUUAAAUCCUACUCAAUUUAAAACCCCAGUUGAAGUUCCAGCUCCUUCAAGAAAGACUGCUCGAUCCAUUUACCUCUCUAUCCCCCCACCAGGGUACUUGCGCUGAAGAAACAACUUUCCGACACUUGGAGGUGGCCUCAGGAAGAUGUGUGUGGUGACUGGGUAUGUGAGUGUUAAACUUGCAUUCAGAAGAGAAAACUAGUACAAAUUUCAGGCCUAAAGAAUGGAGAGACAAGAUGCUGAGGAGGAGAGUGACAAUCACAGGCAUUGUGUUAGGCUCAAUGCUAUGUGUGACUUCUUGUGGUGCUUGGUAUAACAGAUUUUGUGGGGGUGCUAUGAAAAAGCUUUUCAUCCUCCAAAAUAAUUAAAUAAAAAGGAGGAUGCUCUGGAACGCUGCAUAACUCUGGGGAAUUUGUCUGCUCUGGAAAAAAGACUGAAAAUAGGACAUUGAAUAGGAUAUGACUUAUGAAACGUUUUAAGAUUUUUUAAAAUUCCACUUUAAGGAAUUUGCAAAUUCUUCAGUCUAUAAUGGUCAACAAUGACAUUCAAAUGGGAUGGACAAAUGCCUUCCAAUUUUUAAAUUCAAAGUGGGGGCACAUGAGGAUGAAGUAUGACCUAACACUAUAGGGGAAAGAAUUCUUCUUUUUACAAAACGUCAAAGACCCAACCAGAACAUAACAUUAAGUAAUAAAGGAACAGGAGUCAAAGUAAAUAUAUAACAUAAUGCCUAUUUUGUUUGCUUAUUUUGAAUAUGCAAAUCUAUAAUGAGGACCUCCAAGUAUUCUGGGUAAAAGAAUUUCAGAACUUCACUUCUUUCUGUUUCUUCUCAAUUUUCUAUAUUUAUUUAUUUAAGAACAUAUGAAUGGCCUAUGUAUGUGUGUACUAGUUAACCUCUAUUACUGGUUCCUUCUCUAUUAUUGGGGGGGAAUAACAUUGCUUUUAGAAAAUGCACACAGGUUAUAUCUAUGGUUGUUUUUCAACAAUUCCCUGGCUACAAAUAGCUUAAGUUGUAUCAUGUGAUGCUGUGGGUUGACUGCUUUCUUAGAUGGCCUAAAACUAAAUAUGAUUUUGUUGUGAAAAAAAAAAAGGGUUCUUUUGUAGUCUAGUAGGGAUUCUGCUAUGAAGCUUUUAUUAAAUAUCCUUGCACAGUCUUGAAUUCAAAGCAAUACAGAGGAAAAAAAAUCAAUUUUUUUAACGUUAACAGAAUGCUUAAAAACUUAAAAGGACUACAAAUGUUUCAUUGGAUUUUGAUACUACAUACUUUGGUUUUAAUUUGUUGUAUCUCCACAAUUUUACUAUUAUGCAGCAAUAAGUAUUAAGCCAUAUUUAGGAUUUUACUUACUCAAAAAAAAUUAAUGGACGGUUUUUCAUGUUCAAGCCAUCAUGCUGGCUUGAGAAGCAGGGUUGGGUGGUGGGAGGAUGUAAUGGUUAGCUUAUUUUCCUCAAAUCAGAGCCAUUUAGAUACUUUUACAACUAUUGCUUAAAAUCUCUGCAGCAAGAACUUGCCAUUAACAGGGCAGCAUAUUCCUCUGUCUUCUAUUGUAAUUGAAAGAAAUUAUUUUUCACCAUAGUCCAACACCACCUACCUCCCAUCGGCCACCUAGUUCUGACUUCUAGAGCAACACCAAGCCAGGCCAAUGCUUCAUUCUUGGAAUUCUCUAAGAUAAAAAUUCCAAGUACUGCAACUUCCUUUUUCUAACCCAGCUAUAAGGUUUCAUAUCAAUUAUCAUUAAAUUUCAUUGUAUUGGUUUCAUCAAUUACUCACUUUAUUGAGCUAUCCAAAUAUUUAUUCUGGGAUUCAUUACAUUAGAUACUUCUCUAAGUUUGUCUUUCUGCCUUUGAAAUACACUGGGACGACAAUUAAAAUGAUAAAAGUAUCAGACAUCUUUAUUUUUCAGCUCAGGAAAAAUAGGAUGGUGAUGAAAAAAAUUAUUUAAUUCACCUUUAAAAUUUCUCAUGUGGGCUUCUUAGAAAUACUUAACUUUCAUUUUAAAAUGGUACAUAAAAUAGUCAUACACAUGCACACAUUUUUCUUUUUUAAAUAUCUGAAACACAUUUUAGCCUGAUGUAUGAAAUUAGAUAAUGUAAACAGUGACAGAUGUUUUACUGUACGAAAAUAUUUCCUGAAUAAUCAGAUUAAGCUCAUGAAUUAGAGAUGAUUUCUUCAAAUUUUAUAAACAUGACUUUGGUUAGAAUAAUGAAAGAUUCAAUUUUCCAGUGAUACAAAUUUUAUUUGAAAUAGUCACACUAUAUCCUGGCUUUGAAAUAAAACUUGCAUCUAUCUUUAAGUUGUGAAGAGUGUUUUUGGGUUAUCAUACACCAUACUAACACUUCUUGAAGAAACUGUUUAGAGUGAAUAUUCCAAUUUUAAAGAAGCAGAUUGGCUUCAAAGAAAUCACGAGAUAGCGCAGGGCAUGUUUAGCUCUCUCUAGAGUCAGGUUUGAGUUUGCUUAGAAAGGCCUGGCACUGGGCGACAUGGCAGGAGACAGCAUAAGAUUUUGGCUCUGUCAUUGAUAUAGCCUUGGAUAGAUUAUCACUUCUUUGGGCUUUAAUUUAAAUAGCAGUUCAAUUAGAUCAUGUUCGAGACCCCUUCCAUUGAACAACCUGCUCUCUUUUAGCAGGUAUGAAACGACCAGUCCGGUCAGAACUGAAUAAACCACCCCAUACCAGCAAAGACCUUUCCUAAUGUGGAUGAAACCUCUAGGGAGCUGGAGCACAGGCUUACAUUUAUCUUUUACAUUAAGCUAGUUAUGGUGUCUAGGUAAAGGCAGUUAUUUGUAUUUUAUUUUGCUAUUCUCAUUACAGAUAAGACAAGGUAGAAUUCAUUCCACCUAACCCAGUACAAGCUAUCUCUCUAAGAAAGGGAGAU